CUCUUGAUGAUCCUGUGGGGUCUACUGCCCUCUGCAGGACACACAGGAAAUAAAUGCAGCAUAUCACAGUAUGGCACUAUAUUCUAGCUAACAUUAUUUAUCCUGAAAUUGUCACUGGAGGUAGCUACUACAACGGCAUUAUGUAAAAGUUUUGGGUUUUAGGUUUAAAACUUGUUUUUUUAGAGCUGAUUCCUUUUUGGGGUGUUCCACACGUAUGGCUGAGUGGAGCCACCUUACAGAGGCAAACACAAGGCCUCUUUCAGGCAUAGCGGCUCCAGAGGCAUAUGAGGGCACUCAGUGUUCCACCCCAACCACAGGAUUUAUUUACCUUCCAGUGAGGGGCAGCCAGUAAGAGGAGAUGGAGUGUGCUUUGAGAAAGUUAUUACCUGUCCAAAUCACCAAGAAGACUGAGGUGGGACAGGGGAUGUUUAAGGAAGGAGGAACAUGGAUGAGAGCCAGAAAAGAACGAGGACAUGUGGAUGUUGGGAGACCGCUAUGAACAACCUCUCUAUGGACUCUAUUUCUACGUUUAUGUUAAUGCCCUGUAAGCUCAUUGAUUUCAAUCACCUGUCCUAAACACUCAAAUUAAAAGAUUGCAUCUGUGUUAUGUGUGGCUCUCCCUCCUCUGAUGUCUUCCUGUGAGCCAACACCUCACUAAAAUAUGUGCGUGUUUCCCUUUAGCUCUGCACCAACACAUAAACACAACUCAUUAUGCCAAGUAGGAAGUUUGAAUCCACAUAUAUACAAUUCCAUGUCCAUGUUUUGUUUUCCUUUUUUGAAUGAAGAUGUGGUAUAUUAUUUUUAGAGCUCCUUUUCUUGGACCCCACUGAGGAAAAAUCAUGAAAUCAGUAAAAACACAAGAUGCUGAGUACCAAGUUAUGAACAGCCCAGUUCCCGUGUCCACAGAUUUGAAUGCUGCUUGUUUGUAUUUUUUCAGUUGAAAUCUAUCAUGUGACUGUAUGUGAUGGGGUAGGCCCAGUUCCUGGGUCAAUAACAGCAAGGUCAUGGGUCAGAGGAAUCAGUUCAUUGUAAACAGUCAAUGUUUUUCACAAAAGAAUUGUAUCCUCAGGGCCAAACAUGUUCAAACAUUUGCUAGCUUAAAACAUCCACAAACCCUUUUAAACUGUUUAAACCUCUACUGUUUUUAUAAGCUUGCUUGUCUUCCUCUUAUAUUUUGGUGCAUUGUUACUUUUUGCGACAACUUACCUCCAUCAUGUGUCAGUAUACGUGAAACUGUUAGGGGGAUGGGGCUACUGUGUAUAAGUUUAGUUUUCAGUGUAUGUAAUUCGGCUUAUUGGCACAACUGAUGACUGACCUAAAUAUCUCUCACAGUCUCAUUUUGUACUCUGUUCUUGCACCCACAAAUAGUGUGCAUGUGCAUCAUUGUGCAUGUGCUAGUAAAACACAUUUAAAAAACCUCUGGGAUCCACUUAUCAAACUCACUGCUCUACAGCAGCAGUAGUGGUUAAAAACGACACCUUAAGGAAACUUGAGAUUGGGCCAGUCCUGGCUCUUCAGUGGCUUAUCACCAAGACUUUUCCUCUUUUGCAGGAUGGAAACAUCUGUUACGUUGCUGUGGGAAUAUUGAGCAUCAGGGAAACAAUGUAGGGUAGAAUCAGCUUGACCAACAGCUGUUGAACUCUAAAGUGCUUUCUCUCAGCCGUAGAGUGAAACAGACUGAAAUAAUGCAGACUUGAAUGGGCUCCCUGUUUCUGCCUUUUUUCUCUAGUUAUUCCCACUCAGCCUUUUAGGGAUCCUUGGCAACAGCAUGUAUUUAGAUGUGGAGCAAGACUGAGAGAAUGCAACUCCGUAAACAAUUCCACAUUAAUCCAUUUUAUCCAUGUCGUUCUCAGCCUCUAUGCAUACAAAUGCUUAAAAAAAUACACUGAUAAGAAAGCAGAAAUAUUUGUUGUGGAAUUAAUGGAGGGGGAAUAUGCCAAAGUAGUGACUGUGUGUGCAGAUUUAUCUGGAAUCAGGUUUUUCUGCUGAAAAGUCUUUAAAAGGAAAUGCAGAGAUCAAGGACCACAAAGAAAUACACGUCUUCUCUCUUGGCAGUGCCAGAAACACUUUCUCUCUAGAACCGUUCCACUUCCUCUGCUGGGCAGUUGAUGGGAUUUCAUACUGUUGGGAAAACUUGAGGAAUUAAUAUUACCAGUGUAUUUUGGCACACUGUAACGUGUUACAUGUAAAAUAGCAUUUAAACAUUAAAAGAAAAUACUGACAGCUUCAUAGCUUCAAAGCACAACAAAAUAAUAAUUUUAAUUAUAAUUUCAAUAGAAGAAACUAACAUUUACAUCUGUGUGAUACAUUUCUAGUUGCUUAAGCAUAACCUGUGCUUUGGCCCUUGGUUUCUUCUUCAAGAAUAACCAGAAUGCGAUGGUAAAGAAGAAAGUUUUAAUAGUAAACACUGACAGCAAGUCAAGAAACAGGGAACUAUGAACCUAUCAAACUCUUACCCACUGCCUCAAUGAGAGUUAAAAGUGAUUUUCCUCUAUAACCUCUUUAGUCUUAAAAACUCUGAAGUGUGUUUCACCACAGAGAACAGCAGCUGUACUCAGCUUGAAUUCAUCUGUUUCAAUGGCUACCUUAGGUGACAAGUUUUCACACCACAAAGUAUCAAAACAUGCAAAGGAAUUUCUCGAACUGCUCCUGCAGCAUAAUCAAUUUCUCCACUGUCCACCUGCAUGUUAAAUUUAUUCCAAGCACUAAUUGUUUCGCUAAAAUAUGGCUAAAUACAGUACUUUCAGUAGAAUUUUGAAAAGGGCGAUGGCUUGACACAAAAGCACUGCAUUUAUUUUAAUGAAAUGAACAGACUGAGUAUUGAUAGACAGGGUUUCUGUUGACCAGAGCUGUAGACUUGUACUCAAAGUCAGAUUUAAGUCACAAAAAUUAGGACUUGACUCAUGACUUGCAAGCAAAAUAUUAAUGCCUCAGGUCCAACUUUGCAUCACCACACGGUGUGAAUAUUUAAUUAUUAAGCUUAUGCAAUGAAAGGACUUGGUCUCAGCUAUGCAAAAAUCACUAUUAACAGAGCUUUGGAAGAAGAAUUUUCAAAUACCAUGGCAUUUUAAAAGUCAGCAUUGAGAGACCUGAAAGCCUUGUAACUAACUUACUGAUGUUGAGACUGAACUUUUCCUCAAGGAACUGAGACUUUACUUUACAAAAGACUUUUAAAAAAGGCACUGCUUUUGAUGUUUUGAUACUUUUUUUCCACCAUGAAAACGUUUAAUUAAAGGUUUAUGAAUUAACCUAUGUAGGUUGAAACACCAGAUUUUUACAGUUUUUACCGUCGAACAUAUAUCUUUAUGACAGAUUACAUAACUGCAAAACUAUAUUGCUCCAAAAUGAUUAUUGCUACUCUGGCUAUCUGGGUGCAUACACUGACUACACCCAUUCUUUCAGGUGCAACUGGUAUUUCACAGUAUUCCUCUUGGCUUAAACACUUCAGUAGUGAGUCUGGGCAGCUCAAGGCCUGCGAGUUGUAAUGUAUUCAUAUUUAUGUUUUAAACACUAACUUAGUAUAAGCCCACUACUAUAUGUACCUCUAAUGUAUAUCCCAUUCCAUGAGCAGUGCAACAGUUUCAGCGGUGCCUCAGCCAAGCUGAACACAAUGCUGCCAUUGAACUAGAGUAACAGUGGAUACAUUUAUAUACCAUCAAGAGUGACAGUUAACGCAGCAGCACCUGGGUUUCACUUAAAAGUGAUAGGCCAUAUUAAUGCAGUUACAUACGUACAUCUUAUAUAUCAGUUGUCACCAAAAUCAUCAACAUACACAAAUCUCACAACUAAUACCUUUAAAAGGGCAAGGUCUUAAUAUUUCUGGUGAUUUUAUUUAUCUGAGUUGGGAAGUGAUUAAAACAACUCCUUUGCACAAGCAUUUUGUUUGUGUGUCCAUGAACACAUCUGUCUGAAAUCAAUGUAUCAGCUCUGACUCUGGCAGCCCUGGGAAAUACAUUACUACAACACUUGUAUGUUGAAGACACAUGUAGGUAUCUGAAGCAAGAUAUAAUUCUUCUAUAGCGUGACACCGCUCAUUUUAUAUAACCAAAUGAAGAUUAUAUAUCCAUCUUAAUUGGCCUCUUUUUUAAGGUAUAUUGUAGUGACGCCUAAAUUACAUUACAAGAGAAUUGCUUUAAAAAUGGCUUUUGGCUAAAUACAUCAAAGAUCAUUCUGUAUUUUCACACUGUGUGCUUUUGGGAAGAUAUGAAUAAGCCACGAAAUGCAAUCCCAGAUUCACUUCACCUGAGUCAGAUAUGUAAAGCCCUAUGAAAUCACAUCAGGUUUAAUCUAAAGUGAUUCUAUAAGUUGUCUAAGUCUAGUGCAGAUCUAUCAAACUACAAACCAGGUUGAACUAGGCAGAAUUAAGCACUGGCCUUAUAAACCCUAUGAACAGAAACAUCCUCUCUUU